CACUAGGUAGCUAACUUGGUCCAAAGCGUUAGCCUUUUAAGCUAAAGACUGGUGAUUACCACCCACCCCUAGUGA
rnacentral:tRNA from 1 species